GAGUUUGAUCCUGGCUCAGAUUGAACGCUGGCGGCAUGCCUUACACAUGCAAGUCGAACGGCAGCACGGGAGCUUGCUCCUGGUGGCGAGUGGCGAACGGGUGAGUAAUGCAUCGGAACGUAUCCUGGAGUGGGGAGUAACGUAGCGAAGUUACGCUAAUACCGCCAUAUUCUGUGAGCAGGAAAGACGGGGGACCGUUCGGCCGUCGCGCUCUUGGAGCGGCCGAUGUCGGAUUAGCUAGUUGGUGAGGUAAAGGCUCACCAAGGCGACGAUCCGUAGCAGGUCUGAGAGGAUGAUCUGCCACACUGGAACUGAGACACGGUCCAGACUCCUACGGGAGGCAGCAGUGGGGAAUUUUGGACAAUGGGGGGCAACCCUGAUCCAGCCAUGCCGCGUGAGUGAAGAAGGCCUCGGUGUAAG
rnacentral:rRNA from 1 species